rnacentral:rRNA from 1 species
GUGGGGAAUCUUCCGCAAUGGACGAAAGUCUGACGGAGCGACGCCGCGUGAGUGAUGAAGGCCUUCGGGUCGUAAAGCUCUGUCAUCGGGGACGAACGGCCUCAGCAGGUAAUGGCUGGGGAUUGACGGUACCCGAGAAGGAAGCCACGGCUAACUACGUGCCAGCAGCCGCGGUAAUACGUAGGUGGCAAGCGUUGUCCGGAAUUAUUGGGCGUAAAGCGCGCGCAAGUGGGAUCUUAAGUCCAUUUUGAAAGUUCGGAGCUCAACUCCGUGAUGGGAUGGAAACUGGGAUUCUUGAGUACCGGAGAGGAAAGCGGAAUUCCCCGUGUAGCGGUGAAAUGCGUAGAUAUGGGGAGGAACACCAGUGGCGAAGGCGGCUUUCUGGACGGUGUCUGACACUGAGGCGCGAAAGCUAGGGGAGCGAACGGGAUUAGAUACCCGAGUAGUCC